rnacentral:misc_RNA from 1 species
GAUGAAGAACGCAGCGAAAUGCGAUAAGUAAUGUGAAUUGCAGAAUUCAGUGAAUCAUCGAAUCUUUGAACGCACAUUGCGCCCGCCAGUAUUCUGGCGAGCAUGCCUGUUCGAGCGUCAUUUCAACCAUCAAGCCCCAGGCUUGUGUUGGAGCCCUGCGGCUGCCGCAGCCUCCCAAAACCAGUGGCGGGCUCGCUAUCACACCGAGUGCAGUAGUUUACUCUUCGCUCAGGGCGUGUGGCGGGUGCUAGCCGUGAAACCCCCAACUUCUCAAGGUUGACCUCGGAUCAGGUAGGAAUACCCGCUGAACUUAAGCAUAUCAUAAGCGAGGA